rnacentral:rRNA from 1 species
UACGUAGGGGGCAAGCGUUGUCCGGAAUUAUUGGGCGUAAAGGGCGCGUAGGCGGGUAUUUAAGUCCGGUGUGAAAGAUCAGGGCUCAACCCUGAGAGUGCAUCGGAAACUGGGUAUCUUGAGGACAGGAGAGGAAAGUGGAAUUCCUAGUGUAGCGGUGAAAUGCGUAGAUAUUAGGAGGAACACCAGUGGCGAAGGCGACUUUCUGGACUGUAACUGACGCUGAGGCGCGAAAGCGUGGGGAGCAAACAGG